AGUGCAUGUCCCCACCAGUCUAGAGCCCAGUGGGUGGUCUUGAGUUACAGAUAAAAUUUUGGAAUUGCCACAUAAAUGUAAAUGUUAAGGAGCUCAAGGACACCUUCUAGUAGCAGAAUGAAAGAUGACCCAAGACCAAGCCCAGAGAGCCUACGACCAACGUAUAAGGAGAACCAACAGUUAGAGCUCAAAUGGAAGUGGAAACACCGGAGUGAUCAGAGAAGUAAGAGUUGUUUGUGAAUUACGUCUGGAAUAGGAAGAGCAGCCAAGCAAUUACUAUGGCUUCAUUGUGCACGAUGAACGAGAACAAGGAAUGCGUUAUCAGUAAUGGGUGGGUCAAAGAUAAACUUGGGCUGACCCCGAGCUGCCAGAUGUGGGAAUGGAAAUAGGUAUAUAUAAGAGGGAGGAAGAUUUGACCACAGACAGACAUAGAAGAAGGUGAUGUGAAGAUGGAGGUGGAGAUUGGAAUGAGAUGACCACAAGCCAAGGGAUGCCAGUACCCACCAGAAUCUGGAAGAGGAAAGAAGUAGAUCCUCCUCCAGAGUCUCCAGAGAGAGCAUGGCCUUGGUGACAUUUUAAUUUCAGCCCAAUGAUACUGAGUUUGGACAUCUGGCCUCUAGGACUGUGACACAAUAUAUUUCCUUUGUUUUAAGUCACUUAGUUUAUGGUAAU